rnacentral:tRNA from 1 species
GGGCCAGUAGCUCAGCCGGUUAGAGCAAGCCACUCAUAAUGGCUCGGUCGUGGGUUCAAGUCCCACCUGGCCUA